rnacentral:rRNA from 1 species
GACGAACGCUGGCGGCGUGCCUAAUACAUGCAAGUCGAACGAACCGCGACUAAGUGCUUGCACUAAGUCAAGGUGAGUGGCGAACGGGUGAGUAACACGUGGGUAACCUACCUCAUAGUGGGGGAUAACAGUCGGAAACGACUGCUAAUACCGCAUAGGACAUAGGAUCACAUGAUCCAGUGAGGAAAGGUGGCGCAAGCUAUCGCUAAGAGAUGGACCCGCGGUGCAUUAGCUAGUUGGUAGGGUAAAGGCCUACCAAGGCGAUGAUGCAUAGCCGACCUGAGAGGGUGAUCGGCCACAUUGGGACUGAGACACGGCCCAAACUCCUACGGGAGGCAGCAGUAGGGAAUCUUCCGCAAUGGACGCAAGUCUGACGGAGCAACGCCGCGUGAGUGAGGAAGGUCUUCGGAUCGUAAAGCUCUGUUGUUAGAGAAGAACAGCGCAUAGAGUAACUGCUAUGCGUGUGACGGUAUCUAACCAGAAAGCCACGGCUAACUACGUG